rnacentral:rRNA from 1 species
AACGAACGCUGGCGGCAAGCUUAACACAUGCAAGUCGAACGGAUUAUUCUUUAUAGCUUGCUAUAGAGAAUAGUUAGUGGCAGACGGGUGAGUAAUGCAUAGGAAUCUACCUAGUAGUAUGGGAUAGCCACUAGAAAUGGUGGGUAAUACUGUAUAAUCCCUGCGGGGGAAAGAUUUAUCGCUAUUAGAUGAGCCUAUGUUAGAUUAGCUAGUUGGUAGGGUAAAGGCCUACCAAGGCGAUGAUCUAUAGCUGGUCUGAGAGGAUGAUCAGCCACACUGGAACUGAGAUACGGUCCAGACUCCUACGGGAGGCAGCAGUGGGGAAUAUUGGACAAUGGGCGCAAGCCUGAUCCAGCUAUGCCGCGUGAGUGAGGAAGGCCUUAGGGUUGUAAAACUCUUUCAGUAGGGAAGAUAAUGACGGUACCUAC